rnacentral:rRNA from 1 species
GACGAACGCUGGCGGCGUGCUUAACACAUGCAAGUCGAACGGUAAGGCCCUUUCGGGGGUACACGAGCGGCGAACGGGUGAGUAACACGUGAGUAAUCUGCCCACCUCAUCGGGAUAACUCCCGGAAACCGAAGCUAAUACCGAAUACGACCACGCCCGGCAUCGGGUGGGGGGGGAAAGUUUGUGCGGUGGUGGAUGAGCUGGCGGCCUAUCGCUUGGUUGGUGGGGUAACGGCCCCCAAGGGCUUCGCGGGGUAGCCGGCCGGGGGGGGGGACCGGCAAAAUUGGGAUGGAGAACGGGCCCAGCCUCCUACGGGAGCAAGAAGGGGGAAAUAUUGAAAAAUGGCGGAAAGCCUGAGCCAGCAAGGCGGGGGGGGGGAUGACGGCUUUCGGGUGGAAACCGUUUUUAAGCAGGGACGAAGCGCAAGUGACGGUACCAGCAGAAGAAGCACCGGCUAACUACGUG